GGCGCUUUGUCUUCAAGUCACGCCUUGGAUAUUGCUUGUUUUCCAAGAUUAUCCCAUUUUUUUUUGAGCAAAGUAAAUCAGUUUCGGACAAUGCCUCGUCGUGUUAGGGCUUCUCAGUGCGUCGCUGGCUCUGGCCAGGGUUGUGUGUGAUGCUUCCUGCCCGUGCUGCCUUGCACAUGUACAGAGCAGGGCUCUGUGGGCACUGGCCUUGCUUCCUUAUAAUCCCAUCAUUGCCCUCGUCAUCAGCCCCUCCUCCUCCUCCUCCUCUUCCUCUUCCUCCCUUGCCCCAGCAAGACUGUUGAAGAACCAGCUAUUGCUCAAGUGGUCUUUUAGAAAAUACGCAUGCAUCUCAGGCACUCCACAACAUCUCAAGAUUGGCAGUGGUUGUAUUUCGGGUUCACAUGCGUGGAUAUUGAGACUCAGGGAAGUCCAGGGCCACACAGGAAGUAGCAAAGCCAAGAUUGAGACCUGGGGGUCUAGCUCCAAAUCCCAGCCUCUCUGUUGCUCUCCAUGUACAAUGAGCUCUGUUUCCCGGGGAAGGCCGAGCAAAGGUCCAGGAUGGCAGGUUCCUGGCAGGGCCCUGGGGGCUGAGGCCACAGAAGGCCUCCUUACAGGAGUGGGGGUGGAGGGCCCCAGGUCCAGGGUGGAUGACCUUCUGCCCUUCCUGAUUCAAGUGACCUGGCUGUGCUGGUUUGAAGCAAAAGUGCUGUUGGCAGAGAAUCGAGACAUGGGAAGAAGAGUGGUUGUGCAGAGUGAAAGAGCAUCUUCCUGUGGACAACUCAUCUGGCGUCUCAGCCCACAGCUCUGUCGUGGUGACCAGAGAUUGGAUAAUGACUCCAAAGAGGCUCUGCGGAAUCUGGAGAGGGAGAAUAAACUUAACACCCUUAAAAGACAGGCACUCCACCAAAUUCUGUACCAACCAGUAUAAUUUCCAUCCGUUCUACAGAAGAAAUUCAGUCAGAGACGCCUGGAGAUGCUCAGGGCAGUCCCCCAGAGCUAAAGCAGCCCAGACUUGA
rnacentral:lncRNA from 13 species